UGCGUUGAUCCUUUUGUAGGACGCAAGUAACUCUCUAGGAGAGUGAAGCAACGGGAA
rnacentral:ncRNA from 10 species